UCACGCCUUGCGACGGCAGUAUCCAUAGAGGGCCCGGCAUCACCCGAUGGCAACUAUGGAAAGGGGUUGCGCUCGUUAUGGCACUUAAGCCGACACCUCACGGCACGAGCUGACGACAACCAUGCAGCACCUUCACAGUAGCCCCGAAGGGAAAAGUCAUCUCUGACUUAUGCAACUGCAAUUCAAGCCCGGGUAAGGUUCCUCGCGUAUCAUCGAAUUAAACCACAUGUUCCUCCGCUUGUGCGGGCCCCCGUCAAUUCCUUUGAGUUUCACCGUUGCCGGCGUACUCCCCAGGUGGAAUGCUUAACGCUUUCGCUUGGUCACUGACAUUAUAUCGCCAACAACGAGCAUUCAUCGUUUACCGUGUGGACUAC
rnacentral:misc_RNA from 1 species